GCCGGGGUGGCGGAAUUGGUAGACGCGGUGGACUCAAAAUCCAUUGGUGGUGACAUCGUGGGGGUUCGAGUCCCCCCCCCGGCA
rnacentral:tRNA from 1 species